rnacentral:lncRNA from 1 species
ACUGCUGAGGAGGAGAUGCUGCUUCAGAAGAUUGGCAGAGUUGCAUUUUGUUACAGCUGCCAAGGCCUGACAGAUCCCUUUACUAUUGAUCGAGACAUGCUAGCAUGACUAUCGAGGACAAUCGGGUGCCUAUAUGUCCGCAAGAUUUUGACGUGUGGGAGUAACUGGUUCUACAAUUCUGUGCCCGCAGUGUUUAGAUGAAGGUUAUUCCUUUGUUUUGAGAAAUGGGAAUCGGGGAUUGUGAGGAUUUUAAUUUCUUUCAGGUACACAGCCUGCCAGUGACAACUGACUGUGCGUCCCGUCCAUACAUACAGUCGGCAGGAUUUUCUUUCAGCCUCAAGACCUGCCUAGGACAACCUUUAAGAGGUGGACAGGAUUUCAUCUUUUCCAGGUCCAAGGUCUGCCUAAGACUGCAGAAGAUACAGAAGCAGCAGAAUAUUUCUUUCAGGUUUCAAGGCCUUGCAGAUCCCUUAACUGUUGAUCAAGACUUCUAUCGUGACUAUCGAGGACCCGGUGCCUAUAUGUCCGCAAGAUACAAGCGUGUGGGGGUGACUGAUCUGCAAUCCUUGCCGGUGGGUUGCUAGAUGAUAGUUGUUCCAUUGUUGAGUGAGACGGAAAUCAGGGAUUGCAAGGAUUUCUUAUUCAUUUCAGGUCAAUACCCUGCCUAGGUCUUCUAAUGUGUGUUUUACUUGGACGGAACAUAAAUUGGGCAGGUUUUGUAUUUUUUUCAGGUUCAAGGCCUGCCAGGACCGGGCAGGAUUUUCUCUCUUUCAGAUUUCAGUGAAUGUUUGCCUUCCUCUACCAGGACAGGCCAGUCUGUCAGAAUUGUUUUCAUGUAGCUCACUUCUGCAAUAUUGAAUUCUUUCCUUAUUUGAGCAAACUUAACAUAAAAUAAUUUUGCAUUUUUUCCUGUUUUAGCUUAUUUAAUUUCAGGCUUGAGAGCAGAGACUUUCAUUAUUUCUAUGCAUGGAAACUGAAAUGAUGACGGUUCUUGGGUAGAGAUCCAGACACUUUGUUCCCAAGGUGAUGUGAAAUGGUGCCAAGUGUUGUGUAUGUCUUCUGCCUUCACUUUACUAGACCACUACUGCCUGGAUCUUCAGUAUGUUCAGUUAGUACUGGAACUCUGAUGACACUGAGGAAAUAUUCUACAAUCUUCACCAUGGUUACGGUUGAAUAGGGAUUCCCACAUAGCAAUUGCUGUACAAUGUAAUGCCAGCAUGUAUGUUUUUCUAAAAAAGGGACAUGGUGUGUCAAGGUGGAAGCUGUGCAUUUGGACAGGAUGAGAGUGGUUGUAUUCCAAUGGCUGUAAGCAUGAAAUCACCUGGCCUUGUGCGGAAGACAUCUAUGAAUCGACCAACCAGAUGUAUACCUCUAAUUUAAACUCCUGAAAAUCCCUAUGGCUGCAGGUGGUGCAGACAGAAUGUGAGCCAGGAAGUACCUCUGUAAAAGCCCAGACAUUCCAUAUGUAGGAGUAUCUUCAUUCUUCAAGUGCAUCUUGGCUAAGAAGUUAACUUGGAUCUGUUUCACAGCGAGUCAUUGAUGAUCAACUAAGUAGUAGGAUACAGUUUUCUGAUCAGAUGCAAUCCUUUUAUCUUAUCUGGCUGGAAUUUAAAGAGCUGAGACUACCAUCAGGAAAAUCUACCAUGUAAUAACACUAACCCAGAACAUUGCUGCCGAGUCUACCACACAGUAAAGCCGACUAGGAAAUGGCUAUUGAGUCUACCACACAGUAACACGAACCCAGAGCAUUGCUACUAUGUCUUCUAUACAGUAACACUAAUUCAGAACAUUGCUACUGAGUCUACCACACAGUAAUGUGCACAAGGACAUUGCUACUAUGAGUUUUCAUGCAGUAACACUGACUUUGAGUAAAAACACAUAGUAGCAUUAACUUAGGAUGUUGCUACAGAGUAUUUCACACUGUAAUACUGACACCAAAGUGUAGCUUUUGUAUGGAAAAUUCAGACAGCUGACUGGUUACCUGUCAAUAGGUGCAAUAAAAUCUUUAUCAUCCGUUUAUGUUAACACUCUUGAUACUGAAGGCUGGACUCUGCUGAACACUGGGAAAAAAGCAGAGAUAAACAUGCAAAGUGCAAAAAACUUUUAAAUGUGACCGUGAUAUAUAGACAUUAAAAUUAUUUUAAGUAACAUUCAAGUAAUGGUCAAAGGUGGUAGUGAAAACUCACUGAAUGUGAUGACUGAGAAAGAAAGACAGUUAUACCUACUAGUAAAAAUCUAUAAGAUUAAAUAUUAAAAUAAUGUUUAAAAGUGACAGUAGGUACAGUAAAAUGUGAAUAAUAUGUGUUUUGAUUGAUAAUGUCAAAUAAUAAAAGGUAACUCAUUGUU